AAAAAACUUUACACUGACAAUGUAUAAAUGAUUAACUCUUUAUUUAUUAAUACUUGCUUUUUGUUAGAUUUUAAACUUAUAUUACCUCCUUGAUUCACACAAGUAGUAUGUUGCUUUUUUUUUUUAUAGCACUAUUUACAUUUGCCCAACAACCAAUUCUGUAUGCAAACCUAGCAAGCAAGCCGUCACGUUUGCCUAGUCGGAAAAGUGAAGAGCCAAAUGAAACAAGCAUAUAUCAUAUUGUCUAAUUGUUUCAUAUUUGCUUUUAUAAAUACGCCUGUCUAUUUUUUGUUUUAUUUAGUACAUAAUCUUAAUGUAUAUUUUCAGAUAUGUAAUGAAUAUUUCAUGCUGUCGAACAAAGAUGUUGAAUACAUUGGAGGGGAUUUCAGUCAUUGGAGAUGUCUCUACUUUCCUUAGGAACUCCCUUUCAUGCAGCUGUCACUUGUGCAUUAAUGGUCUACCUCAAAGACUGUAUCUAAUAGAAGAUGCAGUUGAUCUAAUGAGCAGGCAGAAGCGAAAGCUUAAGAUGCAAAGAAGGCUUUUUUUUUUAUGUUUAUAUAAUGCCCCCUUUCUUCUUUUUAUUUGUAUUUGUUAUGCUCAUUUUAAUCUCUAACUAGUCUUAUGGACAGAUGUUUUAUAUAAAAUAGUUGAUACCGUAUUAAUUUGGACAAAUGUAUCCAAAGCCUUGGUGGUCCCAGACAACAUUAUGGGAGGUGGAACACUCUUGAUGUUUGUGAUCGAGCAAUGUUAGAGAGCUUACCAUUGAGGUCUUUGAAGAGAACUGUGAGUGAGAAGAUAAAAACCAUAACACUAUUACAUAUACGGAUGAUAUUUACAAAGUAAUAUUUAUUUUAAUUUUAAGUUUUU